GGUUGGAGCAUAGCACUGAUUUGAGUUAUGUGAAAACUUGCUCCUAAACAGAGCAGUCAAACGGCUGCUGUGGGUUCAGAUUUUCAUCCCCAAGUUUCUUCCCACCUGUCAUUGCUUUAUGGAUAAAUGUCACUGAGGUAGCUCUAUAGCUACCUCUUUGAUUUAAAGUACUGAACUCCUCCUAAAAUGCUGCAGCAGGAAGACUAUAGGACUGAGAGACUUGGCUAUGAGGACAACCUUCCCCUUUGAGGACCAGAAAUGGAUUGCUAUGAUGGAAGAAGUAUAUAUGACAGUUAAGAAUGAACUGACUGAUAGCAAGAGAGAAGGACAAUUUCAUUAGAUCCAUUAAGAAGUCUUCCAGAGUCUACCUCCAAUGAGAAAGAGAGAGACCAAAGCAGACCCCUGGAAGAAAUCAUCCAUUUUUAAAGGGGUGAAUCAAGGAGGAGUCCAUAGAGAUGAAAGAGAGCCAUCCAGGUUCUGGUAUCUAGUAAGCAGUCAAUUAAUGUUUAUUAAACGGAACCAAUAAAAAAUGGAAGAA